UACGGAGGAUGCGAGCGUUAUCCGGAUUUAUUGGGUUUAAAGGGUGCGUAGGCGGAGUGUCAAGUCAGCGGUAAAAUUUCGGGGCUCAACCCCGUCGUGCCGUUGAAACUGACGCCCUUGAGUGAGUGAGAAGUAAGCGGAAUGCGUGGUGUAGCGGUGAAAUGCAUAGAUAUCAGGAGGAAUACCGUUAGCGAAGGCGGCAAUCUGGCUGGAAACUGACGCUGAGGUGCGAAAGCGUGGGUAGCAAACAGG
rnacentral:rRNA from 1 species